ACAUCUGGUUUUGGAAUGUGGUGGUGUUUUCUCUCUUAGGAGAAGAGCAUUGCCCAUCUACCCCAUUGUGUGCAUGUCUGUGUGUGUUGUGUUGUGAGUAGGUAAAGCUUCGGCUUAGCCUUUCCUUCACCUCACUCAUCUCAUUUAUACAACCCCAAACCCCUUCUUCUCAUCACACUAGACUGACUUUCAAUCCUCGUUUUCGCUCCCUACCAACGGAGCAAAACAUCAAUCAGCAUA
rnacentral:misc_RNA from 1 species